AGACAAGCAUAUGACUACUGGCAGGAUCAACCAGGUAGCAUUCCUCACGAACAUCGGACCGCACAGUACUAGGCCGGAACGGAACCGAGCGUCGUUUGAAAUUAGCGUUAAGCCUUAUGUGGACAAAUAGGAGUCUACGACACCGUGCCCUUCGCGUUUUCCGCAUCCCGGAAAACAAACAAACACUCAUUCGCCUCGGCAAUAACACUAAGAGCGUUAGCCGGGGAUAACGAGCGUCGUCGUGAGUUUCACCCUCGACCACACCGAACUAACGGGCAGCCUCAGGCGAACGGGGGAUGAUUGCCAACCGAAUUCCAUCAUGUAGGUACGCAGCACAGGAAACCGAAAGAACGGCCAAUACAAAUUGUACCGAUAAAUGAAGAGGAACGCACGGUAGGACGUCGCCGCACAAGGCAGGGAUCCAACCAACCCAUACAA
rnacentral:misc_RNA from 1 species